rnacentral:rRNA from 1 species
GAUUGAACGCUGGCGGCCUGCCUUACCCAUGCAAGUCGAACGGUAACAGGUCUUCGGAUGCUGACGAGUGGCGAACGGGUGAGUAAUACAUCGGAACGUGCCCGAUCGUGGGGGAUAACGAAGCGAAAGCUUUGCUAAUACCGCAUACGAUCUACGGAUGAAAGCGGGGGAUCUUCGGACCUCGCGCGGACGGAGCGGCCGAUGGCAGAUUAGGUAGUUGGUGGGAUAAAAGCUUACCAAGCCGACGAUCUGUAGCUGGUCUGAGAGGAUGAUCAGCCACACUGGGACUGAGACACGGCCCAGACUCCUACGGGAGGCAGCAGUGGGGAAUUUUGGACAAUGGGCGCAAGCCUGAUCCAGCCAUGCCGCGUGCAGGAUGAAGGCCUUCGGGUUGUAAACUGCUUUUGUACGGAACGAAAAGGUGCCUUCUAAUAAAGGGCGCUCAUGACGGUACCGUAAGAAUAAGCACCGGCUAACUACGUG